GACGAACGCUGGCGGCGUGCUUAACACAUGCAAGUCGAACGAAAAGACCCUGCGUUUGCGGCGUGCUCGAGAGGGGAACGGGGGAGUGACACGCGAGUAAAAUGUACCUAUCAGUGGGAUAAAUCUAGGGGACUGGGGCUCAUACAGGGUAGAAUAUCUUGCUGCAUGGUGGGGGAUGGAAAAAGUCGGCGGUUGGGGCUGGUAUCGAGGGUUAUCAGCUUGUUGGUGGGGUAGGGGCUUACAAAGGCUUUGACGGGUAGGCGGCCUGAGAGGGUGACCGGCCACAUGGGGACUGAGAGACGGCCCAGACGCCUACGGGAGGCAGCAGUGGGGAAUAUUGCAGAAUGGGCGGAAGCCUGAUGCAGCAACGCCGCGUGCGGGAUGACGGCCUUCGGGUUGUAAACCGCUUUCGCCUGUGACGAAGAGUGAGUGACGGUAAUGGGUAAAGAAGCACCGGCUAACUACGUG
rnacentral:rRNA from 1 species